rnacentral:lncRNA from 1 species
CAAGCCUCCAAACACUCCUCUUAGCCCGCCCCUAAUUCACGCCACAAUUAUCCCCAAUCUUAGAAAUCACCAUUACAUUGAUGAUCCAAGAAUUUGGUGAAUCAAAACCAAAAAAUCUUCAAUACACUACAAUUCAUAUCUCAAUCUGUAAUAACAUUCAGCUCAGAAAGAGUCCAAGCGGAAGUGUUGAAGGCAAAGGAAAUGAUUCAUAUUCAAGAAGUGAUUUUGGUAUGUGAAAUUUUAAUUAUAGUAACUCAAAAGACAUUGAAAUGUUUUUAAUUUUGUAUGUUUGUUCUUAAUGUAUUGUUUAUUCUGAUUUAUUAAAUAUUUUUUGUGAUUCUGUUGAUAGAUUUGAAAACUUCUCUUUUAAAUAUUAUCAACAUACUAAGUUGGUCUUGUGAGUCUUGCUCAUGGUAAAAAAAAUUCAUGCGCAGAUGUUAAAGUCAAAAUUCAAUGAUGAUUGAUGAUGUGUACGUUUUGUCAGUUUUGAUCACAAUGUACAUGAAAUGUGGCGAUCUUUGUUGCUGCCAAAAGAGUGUUUGAUAGGUUUCUGCAUAAAGACAGUGUGAUGUGGAAUUCUAUGAUAACAGGUUAAGCACAACACGGUUUGGGAGGAGAAGCUCUACUCGUGUUUCAAGAGAUGUAUUCUUCAGGCAUUGUUGUAGACGAUGUUACAUUUGUUGGAAUUCUCUCGGCCUGUAGUUAUUCUGGACUACUCAAAGAGGGGAAUGAAAUCUUUUAAGUCCAUGAAAUCAAAUAUUCGACAGAGCCUUCCUCAAAAACAUUAUGCUUGCACGGUUGAUUUGUUGGGGCAAGCUGGUCGCUUUAGCGAGGUUAUGAAUCUAAUUAAUGUUAUGCUAAUGGAAGCAGAUGCAAUUGUUUGGGAUUCUGUAAUGGGUGCAUGUAGGACACACUGACACUUAGAUUUAGCUGAAGUAGUAGCGAGGAAACAUCUAGGACUCGAGCCAAAAAAUGCUGGACCUUGUAUCCUUCUAUCAAACAUUUCCGCAUCAAAAGGCAAAUGGUCAAAUGUUGCCCGACUGAGGUAAAACAUGCAAUGUAGAAAGGUGAGCAAGCCACCUAGCUGUAGCUGUUUUAGGUAGAAAAGGUGGUGCAUAUGUUCACUGGUGGUUCGAGCACACCUCAUCCCAAGCACUUUACGAUCAUUAUAUUGCUGGAGAAAUUAAGUGGACCAUUAAGAGCAUUUGGAUAUAAUCCUGAUGAUGUCUUUACUGUGCACUAUGUGGAGGAGGAAGAAAAGGCACAUAGUUUGGGAUAUCAUUAGCGAGAAGCUAGCACUAGCCUAUAGACUUCUCAAGUUGCCUCAAAAGGUGCUCAUUCGUGUGACAAAAAACCUGAGGGUUCAUGGAGAUUGCCAUGCUGCUAUCAAACUAUUUGCAAAAGUCACAGGCCAAGAGAUCAUCUUGAGGGAUGUAAAUAGAUUUCACCAUUUUAAGAAUGUUUUAUGUUCUUGAAAAGAUUAUUGGUGAUCAAGAAUUCAAAUACCUAUAUCAACCAAAAAAAUACUUGUAUAUUAUAUUAAACUCAUUGAUUGUUGUGCA